rfam:Schistosoma rodhaini strain Burundi genome assembly, scaffold: SROB_scaffold0019328
AUCCAACUGACGAGUACAAAAUAAGACGAAACGCGCAUACUGGAU